rnacentral:rRNA from 1 species
GACGAACGCUGGCGGCGUGCUUAACACAUGCAAGUCGAACGGAAAGGCCCUUCGGGUUACUCGAGUGGCGAACGGGUGAGUAACACGUGGGUGAUCUUCCCUGCCCUUUGGGAUAAGCCUGGGAAACUGGGUCUAAUACCGAAUAGGACCGCGCGCUUCAUGUGGUUUGGUGGAGUGCUUUUGCGGUGUGGGAUGGGCCCGCGGCCUAUCAGCUUGUUGGUGGGGUAAUGGCUUACCAAGGCGACGACGGGUAGCCGGCCUGAGAGGGUGACCGGCCACACUGGGACUGAGAUACGGCCCAGACUCCUACGGGAGGCAGCAGUGGGGAAUAUUGCACAAUGGGCGGAAGCCUGAUGCAGCGACGCCGCGUGAGGGAUGACGGCCUUCGGGUUGUAAACCUCUUUCACCAGGGACGAAGCGCAAGUGACGGUACCGGGAGAAGAAGCACCGGCCAACUACGUG